rnacentral:rRNA from 1 species
UACAGGGGGGGGCAAGCGUUGUUCGGAAUUACUGGGCGUAAAGGGUCUGUAGGUGGCCAACUAAGUCAGACGUGAAAUCCCUCAGCUUAACUGGGGAACUGCGUCUGAUACUGGAUGGCUUGAGUGUGGGAGAGGAAUGCGGAAUUCCAGGUGUAGCGGUGAAAUGCGUAGAUAUCUGGAGGAACACCGGUGGCGAAGGCGGCAUUCUGGACCAUAACUGACACUGAGAGACGAAAGCCAGGGGAGCAAACGGGG